AAGAAUACAUGUUUCCCUCUAUUAUUCAUCAUAUGGAGUUGCCAACUAUUGGUACUGUGAAUUAUAUUAAGAUAAUUUGCAUGGUUUAAUAUCUUAAUCUCCUCUCUUCAGCGAGAUGGUGAGCUCUUCCCUAUUUCCCAGUGGUGUUGUCGAUAAGCGAGAUGUACGUUUUGUUCCUUGGAUCUGCUCUGUUCAAACGUUCAUCCUGUUGUGGUCGUGGCACAUACUCCGGAAGCAAUUCAGUUCGCUCUAGGCCUUACCGAUGGCAUUGUUUAUAUCAUGAUUGGAAGCUUGCAGUUUUAACUUCAGAUUUUAGUUGAAAACCUGAUAUUUAGAAUUUUGUGAAGUUACAUGUAUUACAUAUUUGUAAUGAUGUGAUAUAUAGAGUUCUGGAUUAUGUAUAUGUAUUACAGGGUUGAACACUUUUCUGGUACAUUUGUACAUUUGGAU